AUUGAACGCUGGCGGCAGGCCUAACACAUGCAAGUCGAGCGAGCGGCGGACGGGUGAGUGACGUCUGGGAAACUGCCUGCUGGGGGGGGGUAACUACUGGAUACGGUAGCCAAUACCGCAUACCAUCAGAUGUGUCCAGAUGGGAUUUGCUAGUAGGUGGGGUAACGGCUAACCAAGGAGACGAUCCCUCGCUGGUCUGAGAGGAUGACCAGCCACACUGGAACUGAGACACGGUCCAGACUCCUACGGGAGGCAGCAGUGGGGAAUAUUGCACAAUGGGGGAAAGCCUGAUGCAGCCAUGCCGCGUGUGUGAAGAAGGCCUUCGGGUUGUAAAGCACUUUCAGCGGGGAGGCGUUACCCGCAGAAGAAGCACCGGCUAACUCCGUGCCAGCAGCCGCGGUAAUAC
rnacentral:rRNA from 1 species